AACCUGCCCACUGAAAUUUUUUAAAUGGCCGCAGUAUUCUAACUGUGCAAAGGUAGCAUAAUCAUUAGUCUUUUAAUUGAAGGCUGGUAUGAAUGGUUGGACGAGAUAUUAACUGUUUCAUUUAAAUUUAUAAUAGAAUUUUAUUUUUUAGUCAAAAAGCUAAAAUAAAAUUAAAAGACGAGAAGACCCUAUAAAUCUUUAUAUAUAGAUUAUUAGAAUUUUGUAGAUUUUUUUUGUUAUAAUAGUUGAUUAUAUUUUAUUGGGGUGAUAUUAAAAUUUAAUAAACUUUUAAUUGAAAAUAUCAUAAAUUAAUGAAUUAUUGAUCCGUUAAUAGCGAUUAAAAAAAUAAGUUACUUUAGGGAUAACAGCGUAAUUUUUCUGGAGAGUUCAUAUCGAUAGAAAAGAUUGCGACCUCGAUGUUGGAUUAAGAUAUAAUUUUAGGUGUAGCCGCUUAAAUUUUGAGUCUGUUCGACUUUUAAAUUCUUACAUGAUCUGAGUUCAAACCGGCGUAAGCCAGGUUGGUUUCUAUCUUUAAUAA
rnacentral:rRNA from 1 species